GAUGAACGCUAGCGGCAGGCCUAACACAUGCAAGUCGAGGGGUAACAGGGAGUGCUUGCACUCUGCUGACGACCGGCGCACGGGUGCGCACCGCGUAUGGAAUCUACCUUGUACAGGGGAAUAGCCUUUGGAAACGAAGAUUAAUGCCCCAUGGUACUUAUAGUAGCAUUGCUAGAGAGUUAAAGGCUUCGGCCGGUACAAGAUGACCAUGCGUCCCAUUAGCUAGUUGGUAAGGUAACGGCUUACCAAGGCUACGAUGGGUAGGGGCCCUGAGAGGGGGAUCCCCCACACUGGUACUGAGACACGGACCAGACUCCUACGGGAGGCAGCAGUGAGGAAUAUUGGACAAUGGGCGAGAGCCUGAUCCAGCCAUGCCGCGUGCAGGAAGAAUGCCCUAUGGGUAGUAAACUGCUUUUAUACGGGAAGAAAAAGGGUUACGUGUAACUUACUGACGGUACCGUAAGAAUAAGGACCGGCUAACUCCG
rnacentral:rRNA from 1 species